UAUGAUUACAAGCUGUAGACAGCAAGACGCUGGCGUUGAAGGAAUCGUGUAUCUUUUGCGAGAAUUUCAUGAGGAUGCAGAGCAAACAUGACUGGCCAAAAGAGGACCUGGCAGCAAGUCAAAAUCAAGUACAAGAACAUCUUGCAGACUGCAGUAAAAAAAAGGACACAUAGGUCUGGCACAGGGGGUGGCCCAGCUACCCCAGAAUUUACCCCAGCAGAGGAGGUGGCCCUUGACCUGAACAAAGGGAGGCCUAUAAUUGAAGGAAUCCAGGGUGGGACCUCCACCGACUCUGUCCCACCCACAGAAAGCGCCCACUUCAUACAAGGGUGAAGGCACAUCUGCUGCACAAGACGAGGAGGAAACAAUUUCAGUGGAUUCAAGAAGACAGGAGAACCCAGACAAUGUGCAGGCCGACACUCAGCCUGCCAACAUCAGUUCCCAAACAGUCAGGUCCCUGUACACAACACACCUACAGAAACAAAUAGAUUUGGCAGAGAUAAAAAUUCAAUUAAAGAAACGAAAAAUGCAGGAAAUGGACCUCGAUAUGCAAAUCAAAAGACAAACCUUGAGGAAACUGGAUUUGGAAAUCAAGAAA